rnacentral:rRNA from 1 species
GGAAUACCAAAAGGCGCAAUGUGCGUUCAAAGACUCGAUGAUUCACUGAAUUCUGCAAUUCACAUUAACUAUCGCGUUUCGCUGCGUUCUUCAUCGAUGCGAGAACCAAGAGAUCCGUUGUUGAAAGUUUUAAUUUCAUUCGAAAAUGAUU